GACGAACCGUGCGAACGUUGUUCGGAAUCACUGGGCUUAAAGGGCGCGUAGGCGGCCCCGCCAGUCUCGGGUGAAAUCUUCCGGCCCAACCGGAAAAGUGCCCGGGAUACUGCGGGGCUCGAGCGAGGCAGGGGCGGGGGGAACUUCCGGUGGAGCGGUGAAAUGCGUUGAUAUCGGGAGGAACGCCGGUGGCGAAGGCGGCACGCUGGGCCUCUACUGACGCUGAGGCGCGAAAGCCAGGGGAGCGAACGGG
rnacentral:rRNA from 1 species